rnacentral:rRNA from 1 species
UACGUAGGGCGCAAGCGUUGUCCGGAAUUAUUGGGCGUAAAGGGCUCGUAGGCGGUUUGUCGCGUCGGGAGUGAAAUCCACUGGCUUAACUGGUGGCUUGCUUUCGAUACGGGCAGACUGGAGGUAUGCAGGGGAGAACGGAAUUCCUGGUGUAGCGGUGAAAUGCGCAGAUAUCAGGAGGAACACCGGUGGCGAAGGCGGGUCUCUGGGCCGAUACUGACGCUGAGGAGCGAAAGCGUGGGGAGCGAACAGG